rnacentral:tRNA from 1 species
GAGACAUUAGUAAAACAAUUACAUAGCCUUGUCAAGACUAAAUCACAGGUGAAAAUCCAGUAUGUCUCA